ACCCCUAUCCUUAUUUGCCAGCGCGUUAUGGCGGGAACUCUAAGGAGACUGCCGGUGAUAAACCGGAGGAAGGUGGGGACGACGUCAAGUCAUCAUGGCCCUUACGGGAUGGGCUACACACGUGCUACAAUGGCAGGUACAGAGGGCAGCAAUACCGCGAGGUGGAGCGAAUCCCACAAAGCUUGUCGUAGUCCGGAUUGGAGUCUGCAACUCGACUCCAUGAAGUCGGAAUCGCUAGUAAUCGUAGAUCAGAAUGCUACGGUGAAUACGUUCCCGGGCCUUGUACACACCGCCC
rnacentral:rRNA from 1 species